rnacentral:rRNA from 1 species
GAACGAGAAAGUGGAGCAAUCCAUGAGUAAAGUGGCGACCGGGUGAGUAACACGUGACCAAUCUACCCUGGAGUGGGGGAUAACCUCGGGAAACCGGGGCUAAUACCGCAUAACAUCCCUGGAUCGGAAGAACUGGGGAUCAAAGGAGUAAUUCGCUUGAGGAGGAGGUCGCGGCUGAUUAGCUAGUUGGCGGGGUAAUGGCCCACCAAGGCAAAGAUCGGUAGCCGGCCUGAGAGGGCGCACGGCCACACUGGAACUGAAACACGGUCCAGACUCCUACGGGAGGCAGCAGUGGGGAAUUUUGCGCAAUGGGGGAAACCCUGACGCAGCAACGCCGCGUGGAGGAUGAAGUCCCUUGGGACGUAAACUCCUUUCGACCCGGACGAUAAUGACGGUACGGGUGGAAGAAGCCCCGGCUAACUUCGUG